rnacentral:rRNA from 1 species
GACGAACGCUGGCGGCGUGCUUAACACAUGCAAGUCGAACGGUGAAGCGCCUUCCUUUUUGGUGGGUGUGGAUGAGUGGCGAACGGGUGAGUAACACGUGAGUAACCUGCCCCCUUCUUCUGGAUAACCGCAUGAAAGUGUGGCUAAUACGGGAUAUUCUGGGUCUGUCGCAUGAUGGGUCUGGGAAAGAUAUUGUUUCGGUGGGGGAUGGGCUCGCGGCCUAUCAGCUUGUUGGUGGGGUGAUGGCCUACCAAGGCGGUGACGGGUAGCCGGCCUGAGAGGGUGGACGGUCACACGGGGACGGAGACACGGCCCAGACUCCUACGGGAGGCAGCAGUGGGGAAUAUUGCACGAUGGGCGCAAGGCUGAUGCAGCGACGCCGCGUGAGGGAUGGAGGCCUGCGGGUUGUGAACCUCUUUCGCCAGUGAAGCAGGCCUGCCUCGUUUGUGGGUGGGUUGACGGUAGCUGGAUAAGAAGCGCCGGCUAACUACGUG